rnacentral:rRNA from 1 species
UUACGCCUACGGGGGGCAGCAGUGGGGAAUAUUGCACAAUGGGGGAAACCCUGAUGCAGCGACGCCGCGUGAAGGAAGAAGUAUUUCGGUAUGUAAACUUCUAUCAGCAGGGAAGAAAAUGACUGUACCUGACUAAGAAGCCCCGGCUAACUACGUGCCAGCAGCCGCGGUAAUACGUAGGGGGCAAGCGUUAUCCGGAUUUACUGGGUGUAAAGGGAGCGUAGACGGCAUGGCAAGUCAGAUGUGAAAGCCCGGGGCUCAACCCCGGGACUGCAUUUGAAACUGUCAGGCUGGAGUGCAGGAGG